GAUGAACGCUGGCGGCGUGCCUAACACAUGCAAGUCGAGCGGAAGGACGCUGCUUUUGCUUGUUUGUCGUUUGGGGCGGGGGGGUGUAUCACACGAGUAUCCCCCCCCUUACAGUGUGAGAUCAUCUCGGGAAAGCGGAUAUUACCGCCGAUAAUAUUUUGCACCCUGGUGUUCUUUAGAGAGAAUCGGCGUUGCUGUCCCUUCUCGCGGGUUCCCCGCUGGUUUAGCUAGUUGGUACGGUAACGGGUUACCAAGGCAACCAUGCCUAGCCGACCGGAGAGGGUGAUCGGCCACACUGGAACUGGAACACGGUCCAGACUCCUACGGGAGGCAGCAGUAGGGAAUCUUCGGCAAUGGGCGAAAGCCUGACGGAGCAACGCCGCGUGAGUGAUGAAGGUCUUCGGAGCGUAAAGCUCUGUUAUUAGGGAAGAACAGAUGUGUAAGUAACUGUGCACAUCUUGACGGUACCUAAUCAGAAAGCAACGGCUAACUACGUG
rnacentral:rRNA from 1 species